UUGCUGGUUUUCUCCUGGUUGUUCUGCUGGUUCUUGUGUGUCAAUAUAAAAACAGCAAAGGUUCCUGUUGUAAUAGAACAUCCUUAUCUCCCCAGACCCAGAUCACCAACCAGGAUCCCCAGCAGGAUCUACUGCAGCAAGGUCAGUCCCUCAGACCAGAUCUCUGUCAUUCUCUAUCUGAAACCUCAUACACUGACUUGACAACAUUCA